rnacentral:rRNA from 1 species
UAGUACCGUGAGGGAAAGGUGAAAAGAACCCCGGGAGGGGAGUGAAAUAGAACCUGAAACCCUGCACUUACAAGCUGUGGAAGCACAUUUCUUGUGUGACCGCGUACUUUUUGUAGAACGGGCCAACGAGUUACGUUAAGUAGCAAGGUUAAGCACUUAAGGUGCGGAGCCGUAGCGAAAGCGAGUUUUAACUGAGCGUUCAGUUACUUGACGUAGACCCGAAACCGGGCGACCUACCCAUGAGCAGGAUGAAGCGAAAGUAAAAUUUCGUGGAGGUCCGAACCCACGAGCGUUGAAAAGCUCGGGGAUGACUUGUGGGUAGCGGUGAAAUUCCAAUCGAGCCCGGAGAUAGCUGGUUCUCCCCGAAAUAGCUUUAGGGCUAGCCUCAAGGUGAGAGAUACGGAGGUAGAGCACUGAAUGUCCUAGGGGGUAUUGCACCUACCGAAGACUAUCAAACUCCGAAUGCCGUCAUCUUAUACUUGGGAGUCAGACUGUGGGUGAUAAGAUUCAUAGUCGAAAGGGCAACAGCCCAGAUCGUCAGCUAAGGUCCCUAAAUGUAAGUUAAGUGGUAAAGGAUGUGGGAUUGCACAGACAACCAGGAUGUUGGCUUAGAAGCAGCCACUCAUUCAAAGAGUGCGUAAUAGCUCACUGGUCGAGUGAUCCUGCGCCGAAGAUUUCCGGGGCUAAAACUUACUACCGAAGCUACGGCAUCAGUAAUGAUGGGUAGGGGAGCUUCCCAUACGGGUUGAAGCAUGACCGUAAGGACAUGUGGACAGUAUGGGAGUGAGAAUGUUGGCAUGAGUAGCGAGAUGUGGGUGAGAAUCCCACAGGCCGUAAACCCAAGGUUUCCAGGGGAAGGUUCGUCCGCCCUGGGUUAGUCGGGACCUAAGCUGAGGCCGAAAGGCGUAGGUGAUGGACAACAGGUUGAUAUUCCUGUACUACCGAUAACCGUUUGAGAGAAGGGAUGACACAGUAGGAUAAGCUAAGCACACUGUUGGUUAUGUGUGCCCAAGCAUUGAGGCAGUCAAAGUAGGCAAAUCCGCUUUGAUAAUGCUGGGAUGUGAUGGGGAGCGAAAUUUAGUAGCGAAGUAGCUGAUUUCACACUGUCAAGAAAAGUCUCUAUCGAGGUUAAAGGUACCCGUACCGCAAACCGACACAGGUGGGUGAGGAGAGUAUCCUAAGGCCAGCGAGAGAACUGUUGUUAAGGAACUCGGCAAAAUGACCCCGUAACUUAGGGAUAAGGGGUGCCACCAUCAGGUGGCCGCAGAGAAUAGGCCCAAGCGACUGUUUACCAAAAACAUAGGUUUCUGCUAAGUCGCAAGACGAUGUAUAGGAGCUGACGCCUGCCCGGUGCUGGAAGGUUAAGGGGAUCUGUUAGAGCAAUCGAAGCAGUGAACUUAAGCCCCAGUAAACGGCGGCCGUAACUAUAACGGUCCUAAGGUAGCGAAAUUCCUUGUCGGGUAAGUUCCGACCCGCACGAAAGGCGUAACGAUUUGGGCACUGUCUCAACAACAGACUCGGUGAAAUUGUAAUUCCGGUGAAGAUGCCGGAUACCUGCGACAGGACGGAAAGACCCCAUGGAGCUUUACUGUAGCUUGACAUUGGGUCUUGGUACUACAUGUACAGGAUAGGUGGGAGGCUUUGAAACCAGGACGCCAGUUUUGGCGGAGCCAUCCUUGGGAUACCACCCUUGUAGUACUGGGACUCUAACCAUAGGCCAUGAAUCUGGUCUUGGGACACUGUCAGGUGGGCAGUUUGACUGGGGCGGUCGCCUCCCAAAAGGUAACGGAGGCGCUCAAAGGUUCUCUCAGUACGGUCGGAAAU